GUGAGAAGGGAGAGGGGGGAGGUCUCACGGGCAGGAGGACCAAGGCUGCGGGCCUUUGGGGGAGGGGAUCGCUGUAGGGCCUUAGCUCCUGUCUGGAGGCCUGGCUUCCUGGGAGAAUCUGCUGGCGGAUUCCACUUGCCUUCCGGGAGUCAAACCUUUGCCCCAAGGCUCCAGGAGCUGCCCUCGGCCACCCUCGCACCCUCCCCCGGCCAGUCUGGCGCCGCAGCCUCGGGCGGUGCCUAGCUGUUAUCUGGAAGGAAAGCCACUCCAAGGCCACUUGGCACAAGUCCAGUCCACAGGGCCCAGGCCUGACUGAGCAGGAAGGAGUCCAGUGGGGCACAGUUCCUGAACCAGGGUUUCCUGACGCCUGCCCAGAGGGGGCGUGGAUUCAAUCCCUUUUCUGGAAACUAAGAUCCCCCAAGGCACACAGCACGGCCGAAAAAAUAAAAGGCAUUGAUUUGUUCAAUUUACGUGUUUCAAAUAUGCCCCAGUUUUUUUUUUUUUUUAAUAAAUAUUUUUAGAUUAAAAAACAUUCCAUUUAUUUUGACUGUGCUGAGUCUUUGUUGUUGAGAGG
ensembl:lncRNA